rnacentral:rRNA from 1 species
AAUCCUGGGAAACUGGGGCUAAUACUCCAUAGGCUCUGGAUGCUGGAAUGCCCCAGAGCUGAAAGCUCCGGCGGCUGAGAGUGGGACUGCGGCGUAUCAGGUCGUAGUGAGUGUAACGUACUCACUAGCCGAUAACGCGUAGGAGACAUGAGAGUGUGUGCUCCGAGAUGCACUCUGAGACAUGAGUGCAGGUCCUACGGGACGCAGCAGGCGCGAAACCUUUCCAAUUCGUUAACGCGUGAGAAGGGGAGCCUGAGUGGCUAUGCAAUGCAUAGUCUUUUCUUCAGUCCAAAAAGCUGGAGGAAUAAGUGGUGGGCAAGACAGGUGCCAGCCGCCGCGGUAAUACCUGCGCCACGAAUGGUAACCGAUUUUAUUGGGUUUAGAGUGUCCGUAGCCGGCUUGGCAAGUCCCUGGUGAAAUCUGGCAGCUAACUGUCAGGAGUGCUGGGGAUACUACCAGGCUUGAGAUCGGGAUAGGGUAAAGGUAUUCCACGUGUAGGAGUUAAAUCCUUUAAUCCGUGGAGGACCACCGGUUGCGAAGGCGUUUACCUGGAGCGAGUCUGACGGUGAGGGACGAAAGCCGGGGGAGCAAAUGGGAUUAGAUACCCCAGUAGUCCCGGCUGUAAACGAUGUCCGUUUGGUGUCGCGUGCUUUACGUGAGUAUGCGGUGCCGGAACGUAAGUGUUAAACGGACCACCUGGGGAGUACGGUCGCAAGGCUGAAACUUA